UAUUAGAGGCACUGCCUGCCCAGUGACAUAUGUUCAACGGCCGCGGUACCCUGACCGUGCAAAGGUAGCAUAAUCAUUUGUUCUCUAACUAAGGACCUGUAUGAACGGCCACACGAGGAUUCCACUGUCUCCUAUUUCCAAUCAGUGAAAUUGACCUUCCCGUGAAGAGGCGGGAAUAAUACUAUAAGACGAGAAGACCCUGUGGAGCUUAAAUUAAUCAGCCCAGUUAAUAACCACUAAACACCAAUAGGAAUAAACACACAUAACAUGAGCUGCCAAUUUUGGUUGGGGUGACCUCGGAGCAAAACAAACCCUCCGAAUGAUAAGUACUAAGACCUACAAGUCAAAGUCCACAGUAUCACUUAUUGACCCAAAAUAUUGAUCACCGAACCCAGUUACCCCAGGGAUAACAGCGCAUUCCUAUUCAGAACCCUUAUCGCCAUUAGGGUUUACGACCUCGAUGUUGGAUCAGGACAU
rnacentral:rRNA from 1 species